rnacentral:lncRNA from 1 species
UCGCUGCUCACCUGCGCUCCCCGCUGCCCGGCCCAGCCCGCCUCGCCACCGAGUCUGGAAGCCCACACUCACCCCUUUACCCGGGAAACGCGGCCGGAGCCGGCGGCGGGUCGGGAGUCCGAGAUGGUAGAUCCCCCUCCAGGCGCCUCGCUGACAUUUUGUCCCGGACGGAAAACCUCCGCGCGUGCCCCUUAAAGACACAGCGCUGCAUUCACACGUCUGCGGGGAAAGGGGGGCCGUCACGUGUGGCCUUCGCCCGAAAGCGGCUGUAGGCGCAUGAUGUCACAAGUUAUUGGAAGAAAUCCCUCCAACCUAGGUUGGGACAGAUGAAGGCGGCGCUUAUUGGUGUUCACCAAAACACCAGCAUGGUGUACCAGCUUUGGCUAGAUGAUGCUCAGAGGGUCAGUGUGACAGUUUCUGUAUCUCAGCUCUUGUCUCACCUCCCAGAAGAAUCAGGUCACACAUGGACUUGAAGGAUGGGGGUCAUGGAGGGCCAAAAGACGGGCCUGUCUAAUUGCAGGAAAACAAACUCAGGGCUCCCACUGAUUCUACAUUACGGAGGAUCUCAUUUCUGUACCCUGCCCUGGAAGUUGGCAAAAAAACACCAGAGACUGGGUAAUUAAUAAAAAGAAGAAAUUGAUCUGGCCUACAGUUCUGGAGCCUUGGAAGUCCGAGAUCAAGGAGCUGCAUCUGGACUCAAUGAUCACCCGCUCCAGAGGAUGCAGCAAAAAGGUGCCAUCUUGGAAGCAGAGACCAGCUCUCACCAGACGCUGAAUCUGCUGGCUCCCUGAUCUUGGACUUCCCAGGGUCCAGAACUCUGAGAAAUAAAUUUCUAUUGUUUAUAAUGU